rnacentral:rRNA from 1 species
UACGUAGGGGGCAAGCGUUGUCCGGAUUUAUUGGGCGUAAAGCGCUCGCAGGCGGUCCGAUGCGUCGUGCGUGAAAGCCCCCGGCUCAACUGGGGAGGGUCACGCGAUACUGCUCGACUCGAAGGCAGGAGAGGGAAGUGGAAUUCCCGGUGUAGUGGUGAAAUGCGUAGAUAUCGGGAGGAACACCAGUGGCGAAGGCGACUUCCUGGCCUGUUCUUGACGCUGAGGCGCGAAAGCUAGGGUAGCAAACGGG